rnacentral:rRNA from 1 species
CAACACGUGGGUAACCUGCCUUAUAGUGGGGGAUAGCCUUUCGAAAGGAAGAUUAAUACCGCAUAAGAUUGUAGUAUCGCAUGAUAUAGCAAUUAAAGGAGCAAUUCGCUAUAAGAUGGACCCGCGUCGCAUUAGCUAGUUGGUGAGGUAAUGGCUCACCAAGGCGACGAUGCGUAGCCGACCUGAGAGGGUGAUCGGCCACAUUGGGACUGAGACACGGCCCAGACUCCUACGGGAGGCAGCAUG